UCCUGUAAUUCAAGCUCUCCAUAGGUGGGGUCAGACUCUGCUCAGCAGAGUUUAGAUAGAUAGCAGGAUUCUUUCUAUUUAAUAUGACAAGUGUUUAGUUUUUAACUGGCUCCUGCUGUUCACCAUAAGUCUCACCUUUCCUCCUCCCAAGUUAAAUAUGUCAGUUCUGACAUUUGCCCGUCCAUGCAUUCUGAAAAUGACAGCUUCUGGUUCCCUAGACAUACAAAGCAGUGGAAAAUCAAAAGUAAAAAAGAGGGUGUGAUUUCACUCCAAGUUUCUGCUUAAAUUGGCUUGUGUGGCCUUUCCAGUUUGAUUAACUAUGUAAUUAAUAAUGACCAGGUGUGGCAGGGUAGGCACUUUAUUCUGUUUUUUUCUGUUCCAUGAAUGCUGGGAAAGAAUGUAAGGAAGGCACUUAGUUGUGAGAACACUUUCCCUUUCCUGUUGGUUCAGUUCUUAAAAUCUAGUAAUGUUUUAAACCCCGAGGAAGAGGAACAAGCAAAAUUUCAUUAUUUCUCUUUGGGCCUGUAGAAGCUAAGCACUAGAGGAUUUCUGAAAGGAAGCUAAUCCUCACUCUUGAUCAGCUGCAGGGGUGAAAAGGAUAGUGCUAUUGCUGUGCCCUGUUUUUUCUUUUUUUUUUUUUCCUUAUUGAAGCAAAGGAUCUCAAAGCAAAAAAUGGUUGUGAGGGUUUGCAGCUACCUUGGAGUUCCAAGUGGAGAGACUCAUCACAAUAUUGCUGUGAGCUCUGCCAUGCUGUUAGAGCAUGGGGGAAAAACGGAAUGCAUAUUCAAGAAUUUUCCUUGAGCUUUUCCUCCACUAGAAUGCCUACAAAAAAAGUUUCACCAACAGUGAGUUGCAGCCUAAAUUUAGAUGUGUGGCAACUGAGGAGAGCAAUAAAUGCAGCAAGAAAGAAGCUUGGAAAGAAAAGAAGAGCAUGGGAAGAGAUGUCACCUCCUGGGUCACUGGCUCCAGUCCCUCCCAGACCUCCCUGAGGAAACCACAUUGUGUUACCCUCUUUCAGACUGUGUUACAGUGCCCUAUCAUAGCAUUAGACGAUACAAAAGAAUUUUUGUGGUUUCCCAGCCUGUCAGACUUGAAAGCCAUUCCUGAAAUCUAAAGAUGAAUUAUUUUGAAACAAUUGUUAUGACUAGUGUUCUCCUGGAGUAAAUUAACAGAAGAAAAGAGUCCAGUGGUUCACAAACUGAAUGUUGCUUUCCUCAGUGUCAGGAGUAAGUUGCAUUGCCUUUCACAGUAGAAGAUUGGAUUUUGUUGUUUUUAUGCUGUAAUUUUCUCUGAAUCUGGACACACAUAGAUACCAUCUCUGCUGUCAUUUGUUUUGAAGAUGAAUUACAUCUAAUGCUUCCUUCAGAUGUAACUGGCAUGUGCACAUUCUCACACUGCGGGAAUUUGACUUCAUCUUCUCACCCCAAAGCACUGGCCACUUAAAGAACUGCCAUUUCACUGAGACAGAUAUUGGGGAUUUGCUUAUUUUAUAUUUUCAAAUAUGCAUUUCUGUUCAAGAUAUUUGAAAGCUGAAUUAUAUGUGGGAGAGCGAUGCAGAGGAAGAGCUGAUGAUGUGAGAAAUGCAAGAUACGAGUACUGGAAAUGAUGGUUCCAGUAGAUGAGACCCACUCAGAUAAUAAAAAUGAUACUAUCUCUGCAAGAACCAGUAAAAUGGCCUGGACCCACUGAGGAAGUGAAUUGGCAGAGGCAUCUCCUGCCUUGUGUGACACGGAAUUCUCUUUGGUGAAAAAACCAAAAUUCUUGCAAAUUCCAGGUUGGUUGAGUUUCAAGAAGCUGUUGUCUGACAGAAAGGCUCUAAAUAACAGAAGCGGAAAACAGGACUCCACAGGAUCUGAUUCAGUGUGCAGUAAAGCUGGUUAGAGAAGAGCCACUGACCUGGUUAGGUAUGUAGAUACUAUGAUCUACAUGCACAGCUGACUCCUAGUAGUGAUUUAUAAAUAGAGGUUUAGAAUUGUUCUGAAGCGACAUCUUUAAAUGCAUGGUGGAGCCCUAUUUUACUAUUUUUCCUCUUAUUUUCCUCCACUGUCCUUUCCUUGCAUUCCCUUUUCUGUAUUCCACUAUUUCCCCUACCCCAGCUUUUUUCCCUCCCCUGUUUACUGCCAUUUAGCAUUACAUCAGCAAGAAAUCACAGCAAUAUUGGCUCCCAUAAAGCAGCAAAUAGAUGUAUAAUCGAGGAGCAGUUUUUAAGAUGGGUUUGUUGUGUUCAUAUGAACAUAUCGUAACUAUAAUAAGGGUUUAGAAUACAUCUACAUGCACCAUAGGGGUAACCUCAUCAUUACCCACCCAUGGCGACCCUGAUCUUGAGUGAUCUCAUUCCAUAUCCUCAGCAUAGUUCUGGCAUGUUCCCUCUGCAUAGAAAGGGAAUAGAGAAUGACCUUCCUUUGAAAUCUUAGAUUUAUUUACAUGAGAGCAUGCCAAAUGCAUUAACAAGUGGUGGAGUGAAACCCCGAGUGAGUAAACAUGGUCAGCCCAAACACGUGUAAAUAAAUCUAAAAUUUUGGAGAAUGUCAUGCCUGCUUUGAUUUACACCACAAACUAUAGGAGGAAAUGUCAGGCCAAUGAGAGUCAGCUUUAUUUAUUUAUUUUUAAUUACUGUUUUGUCAUGGCAAAGCACACCAAACUCCCAGGCAGCUGUUUUCUCUCUCCUUGCAAAGUAGAUUUGGUUCAGGUAACAACCCUGCUUCACUGUGAGUAUAUGCUUCCAUGCACAUAAUAACAGCUUAUGGGAUCCGUAUUUAGGAUGUUGUAUUCCCUGUCAUGACAGUUGUACACUUAGCUCUCUCCUCAUCCACUGCAUUCUCACUCAGAGGAAAGGCGGCUGCUACUAAGCUGGAAGCAGACAUUUGGCUGAGCGCUUCCCUGGUUUUGGACUACUAUUCUUGCUUUUAACAGCAUGCCUAGACUUUGAGAGGUACCUUAUGAUGAGUGAACAGCUAUAUGAAGAACUUUCAGACUUUAAAUCGUAUCCAAGGAACCUCCAGUAAUAAGGGCUUCAACUUAUACCCACAAGUGGUCCCUAGGGAAAACUGGUCUUUGGCUUUUAUUUCCUGAAAGGAAGGAUUGUAUGGCAGUGUUGGGGCUUCGGGGUCUGUAUAAUCAAGGCUCGGCAUGAUGAAUUUGAUGUACUGGCAUCUGUUCUGUAUGCUUUGUAAGACUUCCAAUAAAAUA